rnacentral:miRNA from 1 species
CACAGAAUUGUGGGAUGGCUG